rnacentral:rRNA from 1 species
UUAAGCGACUAAGCGUACACGGUGGAUGCCCUGGCAGUCAGAGGCGAUGAAGGACGUGCUAAUCUGCGAUAAGCGCCGGUAAGGUGAUAUGAACCGUUAUAACCGGCGAUUUCCGAAUGGGGAAACCCAGUGUGACUCGUCACACUAUCAUUAACUGAAUCCAUAGGUUAAUGAGGCGAACCGGGGGAACUGAAACAUCUAAGUACCCCGAGGAAAAGAAAUCAACCGAGAUUCCCCCAGUAGCGGCGAGCGAACGGGGAGGAGCCCAGAGCCUGAAUCAGCAUGUGUGUUAGUGGAAGCGUCUGGAAAGGCGCGCGAUACAGGGUGACAGCCCCGUACACAAAAGCGCAUGUGCUGUGAGCUCGAUGAGUAGGGCGGGACACGUGGUAUCCUGUCUGAAUAUGGGGGGACCAUCCUCCAAGGCUAAAUACUCCUGACUGACCGAUAGUGAACCAGUACCGUGAGGGAAAGGCGAAAAGAACCCCGGCGAGGGGAGUGAAAAAGAACCUGAAACCGUGUACGUACAAGCAGUGGGAGCCCCACCACCAAAGCAUUCUCUGGUGUUGAAGGCCCUGCAAAGCAGCAUCGCGGUGGCGGAGCGUCGUUUGCGACGCCCAACACACAAAACAAGCGGUGAGUGCUUUGGGGUGGGGUGACUGCGUACCUUUUGUAUAAUGGGUCAGCGACUUAUAUUCUGUAGCAAGGUUAACCGAAUAGGGGAGCCGGAGGGAAACCGAGUCUUAAUUGGGCGUUAAGUUGCAGGGUAUAGACCCGAAACCCGGUGAUCUAGCCAUGGGCAGGUUGAAGGUUGGGUAACACUAACUGGAGGACCGAACCGACUAAUGUUGAAAAAUUAGCGGAUGACCUGUGGCUGGGGGUGAAAGGCCAAUCAAACCGGGAGAUAGCUGGUUCUCCCCGAAAGCUAUUUAGGUAGCGCCUCGUGAAUUCAUCUCCGGGGGUAGAGCACUGUUUCGGCUAGGGGGCCAUCCCGGCUUACCAACCCGAUGCAAACUGCGAAUACCGGAGAAUGUUAUCACGGGAGACACACGGCGGGUGCUAACGUCCGUCGUGAAGAGGGAAACAACCCAGACCGCCAGCUAAGGUCCCAAAGUCAUGGUUAAGUGGGAAACGAUGUGGGAAGGCCCAGACAGCCAGGAUGUUGGCUUAGAAGCAGCCAUCAUUUAAAGAAAGCGUAAUAGCUCACUGGUCGAGUCGGCCUGCGCGGAAGAUGUAACGGGGCUAAACCAUGCACCGAAGCUGCGGCAGCGAACGUAUCACUUAAAGCGAUUCAGCGGGUUACGAUUGACGGAGCGAAGCGACGUCAAAGCGUAUACAAAGUCGAGUCGGUUUAAGGAUACGUUCGUUGGGUAGGGGAGCGUUCUGUAAGCCUGUGAAGGUGUGUCGUGAGGCAUGCUGGAGGUAUCAGAAGUGCGAAUGCUGACAUAAGUAACGAUAAAGCGGGUGAAAAGCCCGCUCGCCGGAAGACCAAGGGUUCCUGUCCAACGUUAAUCGGGGCAGGGUGAGUCGACCCCUAAGGCGAGGCCGAAAGGCGUAGUCGAUGGGAAACGGGUUAAUAUUCCCGUACUUGGUGUUACUGCGAAGGGGGGACGGAGAAGGCUAUGUUGGCCGGGCGACGGUUGUCCCGGUUUAAGCGUGUAGGUGUGUGUUCCAGGUAAAUCCGGUUCACUUUAACACUGAGGCGUGAUGACGAGGCACUACGGUGCUGAAGCAACAAAUGCCCUGCUUCCAGGAAAAGCCUCUAAGCAUCAGGUAACAUCAAAUCGUACCCCAAACCGACACAGGUGGUCAGGUAGAGAAUACCAAGGCGCUUGAGAGAACUCGGGUGAAGGAACUAGGCAAAAUGGUGCCGUAACUUCGGGAGAAGGCACGCUGACAUGUAGGUGAAGUGAUUUACUCAUGGAGCUGAAGUCAGUCGAAGAUACCAGCUGGCUGCAACUGUUUAUUAAAAACACAGCACUGUGCAAACACGAAAGUGGACGUAUACGGUGUGACGCCUGCCCGGUGCCGGAAGGUUAAUUGAUGGGGUCAGCGCAAGCGAAGCUCCUGAUCGAAGCCCCGGUAAACGGCGGCCGUAACUAUAACGGUCCUAAGGUAGCGAAAUUCCUUGUCGGGUAAGUUCCGACCUGCACGAAUGGCGUAAUGAUGGCCAGGCUGUCUCCACCCGAGACUCAGUGAAAUUGAACUCGCUGUGAAGAUGCAGUGUACCCGCGGCAAGACGGAAAGACCCCGUGAACCUUUACUAUAGCUUGACACUGAACAUUGAGCCUUGAUGUGUAGGAUAGGUGGGAGGCUUUGAAGCGUGGACGCCAGUCUGCGUGGAGCCGACCUUGAAAUACCACCCUUUAAUGUUUGAUGUUCUAACGUGGACCCGUAAUCCGGGUUGCGGACAGUGUCUGGUGGGUAGUUUGACUGGGGCGGUCUCCUCCUAAAGAGUAACGGAGGAGCACGAAGGUUGGCUAAUCCUGGUCGGACAUCAGGAGGUUAGUGCAAUGGCAUAAGCCAGCUUGACUGCGAGCGUGACGGCGCGAGCAGGUGCGAAAGCAGGUCAUAGUGAUCCGGUGGUUCUGAAUGGAAGGGCCAUCGCUCAACGGAUAAAAGGUACUCCGGGGAUAACAGGCUGAUACCGCCCAAGAGUUCAUAUCGACGGCGGUGUUUGGCACCUCGAUGUCGGCUCAUCACAUCCUGGGGCUGAAGUAGGUCCCAAGGGUAUGGCUGUUCGCCAUUUAAAGUGGUACGCGAGCUGGGUUUAGAACGUCGUGAGACAGUUCGGUCCCUAUCUGCCGUGGGCGCUGGAGAACUGAGGGGGGCUGCUCCUAGUACGAGAGGACCGGAGUGGACGCAUCACUGGUGUUCGGGUUGUCAUGCCAAUGGCACUGCCCGGUAGCUAAAUGCGGAAGAGAUAAGUGCUGAAAGCAUCUAAGCACGAAACUUGCCCCGAGAUGAGUUCUCCCUGAGACUUUAAGUCUCCUGAAGGAACGUUGAAGACGACGACGUUGAUAGGCCGGGUGUGUAAGCGCAGCGAUGCGUUGAGCUAACCGGUACUAAUGAACCGUGAGGCUUAACCUU